rnacentral:tRNA from 1 species
GCCUGGCUAGCGCAGUUGGCAGAGCACGUGACUUUUGAUCUCAGAGUUGUGGGUUCAAGCCCCAUGUUGGGCG